rnacentral:rRNA from 1 species
AACGAACGCUGGCGGCAUGCCUAACACAUGCAAGUCGAACGAGACCUUCGGAUCUAGUGGCGCACGGUUGCGUAACGCGUGGGAACCUGCCCUUAGGGUCGGAAUAACUCCCCGAAAGGGGUGCUAAUACCGGAUAAUGUCUUCUGACCAAAGAUUUAUCGCCUUUGGAUGGGCCCGCGUUGGAUUAGCUAGUUGGUAGGGUAAAAGCCUACCAAGGCGACGAUCCAUAGAUGGUAUGAGAGGAUGAUCAGCCACACUGGGACUGAGACACGGCCCAGAAUCCUACGGGAGGCAGCAGUGGGGAAUAUUGGAAAAUGGGCGAAAGCCUGAUCCAGCAAUGCCGCGUGAGUGAUGAAGGCCUUAGGGUUGUAAAGCUCUUUUAACCGGGAUGAUAAUGACAGUACCGGGAGAAUAAGCCCCGGCUAACUACGUG